rnacentral:tRNA from 1 species
GGGGAUUUAGCUCAGUGGUAGAGCACUUGCCUAGCAAGCGCAAGGCCCUAAGCUCCGGGGAAAAAAAAGAAAAGAAGAAUCUCCU